AUUGAACGCUGGCGGCAGGCCUAACACAUGCAAGUCGAACGGAUCCUUCGGGAUUAGUGGCGGACGGGUGAGUGACGCGUGGGAACAUACCCAAAGGUACGGAAUAGCCUCGGGAAACUGGGAGUAAUACCGUAUGUGCUCGAAAGAGGAAAGAUUUAUCGCCUUUGGAUUGGCCCGCGUUGGAUUAGGUAGUUGGUGGGGUAAUGGCCUACCAAGCCGACGAUCCAUAACUGGUUUGAGAGGAUGAUCAGCCACACUGGUACUGGGACACGGCCCAGACUCCUACGGUGGGACGCAGUGGGGAAUCUUAGACAAUGGUGGAAACCCUGAUCUAGCCAUGCCGCGUGAUCGAUGAAGGCCUUAGGGUUGUAAAGAUCUUUCAGGUGGGAAGAUAAUGACUGUACCACCAGAAGAAGCCCCGGCUAACUCCGUGCCAGCCGCCGCAGUAA
rnacentral:rRNA from 1 species